rnacentral:lncRNA from 1 species
AAUCACUUUCUUUAAAAAAGUUCCCAAUAAAAUUAGUUUGUUUUUAUUUGUACUGAUCGAUUAAUUGAUUAGUCACUGGAAUCAAGGUAUUCGCAUCUGUUGUGUGUAAACUAAAGCCUGUGUAUCUUCAAGUCCUGAUUUCUCUAACUUGGGUCUAACGAAGUCACAGUUUACAUAGUCUUAAGGUGCGAGUGCUCAAGUUGUAUGGUACAAAGUGAUUUUGUCAGUCAGAUUUCUGCGGCUAAAAUAUGGCCUCCCGAAACUUCACACAUUCAGAAAUUACAGCAUUAGAACUUGCAGGACUAUUUUAAAUAGUCACAGGGGAGAAGAAAAUGCUCUGGCUGAACUAUGCACAUCAAAAAAUUCAACCUGCCUUUUAUGCACAUUGAAGUGAUUCUUUUCAAAUUUAUUUGGUUAUUUUUAAUACAGUUUUAACAGAUUUCUAAAUAACUGAUGCAGAUAUUCAUCAGUAUUCAUACUGAUUACUACAGUAUACCGAAUACUACAGUAUUCAGAAUAUUUGAUGACUGUUCAGGUUUUUCCUAUCUUUUUGAUUUCUUGACAGUUGCCUAGAUUAAUACCAAUAUGAUAGGAGUAAGAUUUAACACUUUAAUGCUGGGAUUCGCUGCUUUGAGUAAAUACUAUUAUUUAUAGUAUUAUAGACAAUGGAAAUUUAUUCCUAUACAAUGUUAAGACCAACUAUAAAGGUGUCUGGAGAGAAACCUAAGUUUUGGCAACCCUAUCCAGCAGCGUCUUAGUAAGUCUGCUUUGGUAUGGUCGAGGAUAGGAAGGAAGGGUAUAUUUGCUUGUUUGCUUUUUUACCACCUUUUUCUUGGGAUAUUUCUUACCUCCUUGGGUCGCUGACAUACUCUCUGAAUUCUUCUCUGAAGCAAACUUUUCAGCAAAGUUAUCUGAGGUGGCUUUUUCUUUCUCUUCUUCCUCACCAACUCCAAAAGACAAAGAUGGGGUUCAAAUGAUUCCUCCAUCUGUUUCUUCUCCUGAUGCCAUGACGUCAAUCCCCAUACUUAGAGUUGUAUCUCUCUUUGAACAUCACUGCCUGGACCUGGCUCAUGUUUGCUUCCCUCCCUCUAGCUUGGUGACUGUGCUGUGCCAGAUUCUCUCUAGAGCAGGGAGGUCACAUGACCUCUGUUCUCAUGCUCUAUCUGCGCCUCACACACUCCAAGAAUUCCGUGUUACUACAGCCCAGUCUAUGCCAGCUCUUUUCUAGGACAAGGCUGGGGCACGUGAUAUUAAGUGAAUGAGUGAAAACAGGAAAAAAAAUUAACUGUAAGGAAGUAGUUAAGUCAGUUAUGAUGUAUUUCUGUAUUCCCUCCAUUGAUAGAUGUUUGUUGUUUGUCUUUCCCAGUCUUGCAAUUACAGAAAAGUUUUGCAAUGAAUAGCCCUAUAGAUAUGCUGUACUGUAUAUAUGCAUGUAAAUUGGCAAAAUAAAUUCUUAGAAAUAGAGAUUUAUGUAUAAACUUGUACAUGCAUUUUCAUUUAUUAUUAUUAUUUUUUAAUAGUUAUUUCCCAAUACAUAUUUUUUUCUACUGUACAGCAUGGUGAUCCAGUUACACAUACAUGUACACAUUCUAUUUUCUCACAUUAUCACGCUCCAUCACCAGUGACUAGACAUAGUUCCCAGUGCUACGCGGCAGGAUCUCACUGCCAAGCCAUUCCAAAGGCAAUAGUUUGUAUCUAUUAACCCCAAGCUCGUCAACAACCCCACUCCCUCCCCUCCUCCUUGCAACCACCAGUCUAUUCUGCAAGUCCAUGAUUUUCUUUUCUGUGGAAAGGUUCAUUUGUGUCUUAUGUUAGAUUCUACAUAUAAGUGAUAUUAUAUGGUAUUUGUCUUUCUCUCUGACUUACUUCACUCAGGAUGAGAGUCUCUAGUUCCAUCCAUGUUGGUGCAAAUGGCAUUAUUUCAUUUUUUUUUUUAUGGCUGUGUUCCAUCGUGUAUAUAUACCACAUCUUCCUGAUCCAAUCGUCUGUCAAUGGACAUUUGGGUUGUUUCCUCGUGUUGGCUAUUGUGAAUAGAGCUGCAAUGAACAUGUGAGUGCAUGUGUCUUUUUCAAGGAAAGCUUUAUCUGGAUAUAUGCCCAAGAGUGGGAUUGCUGGGUCAUAUGGUACCAAACCAAAAAGAAAACAAAAAAGACAACUUCCAGAAUGGGAGAAAAUAGUUUCAAAUGAUGCAACGGACAAGGGCUUAAUCUCUAGAAAAUACAGACAAUUUAUACAACUCAACAGCAAAAAAGCCAACAACCCAAUUGAAAAAAGGGCAAAAGACCUGAAUAGACAUUUUUCCAAGGAAGAUGUACAGAUAGUCAAGAAACACGUGAAAAAAAUGCUCAACAACUCUGAUUAUGAGGGAAAUGCAAAUCAAAACUACCGCAAGAUACCACCUCACACAAGUCGGAAUGGUCAUCAUGAAUAAGUCCACAAAUAACAAAUGCUGGGGGGGAGGUGGCCAAAAGGGAACCCUCCUGCCCUGUUGGUGGGAAUGUAAGUUGGCACAACCACUAUGGAAAACACUAUGGAGGUACCUUAGAAAUCUGUACAUAGAACUUCCAUAUGACCCAUUUUCAUUUUAGGAGUCAUUGUCCAGUUGCCUCCACAGAGGUUGCACAUUUUCUUACUCCUAUUAGUAUGUGUAUUAGAGGAAUUAUUUUCUUACAAGUCAUCUAACAAAGCUCAUUGUAAAUUUUUGAUUUUUGCCAUGUCUACACAUAGGUUAAAAUGGUAUCUUGGUAUGGCUUACAGUUUUCUGUUCUUUUAUUUUGAGAGAGGUUUGUAUGCUUUCAUAUGUUGGAGACAUUUUUUUCUUUUAACCUUUAAACACUAGGUUUAUUUUAUUUGCCCAUUUUUCUAUUGAGUGUUGCUUGUUUUCUUCUUAAUUUUUAGAGCUUCUUAUACUUCUUUCUGUGAUAUUUAUUAGGUUCAUUUUUCUUGUAAUUUGUUUUUGCUUAGAGUGUUUUUAAUCAUGCAAAAGUAGAAUUUAUAAAGCUCUUAAUGGCUUGUGGAGUUGAGGUCAUAAUUUGGAAGGCGGUUGCAGCUCCAGUGGCACAAUCGGUUAGUGUGUGGUACUUACACGAUUUGGAAGGCCUCCUUUUCUCCAGGGCUGUAAAGAAAUACGCUUAUGUUUUCUUCUGGUAUUUACGUGGUCUCGUUUUCCCUCCUGGACUUAGGUUCCCAUCUGCUCUGUUGCUCCGUAACAAUGUGGCAAUUUGCUUCUGACUCAGUUUAGGUUCUUAUUAAGAAAGGAGUGGAGUCAUCGUGUAGAAUAAAAACAUGGUAAAAUGGAUUUGGGUUAAUAAAUACGAUUUUAAAUCCAUUUAAUAUUGGCAAAGUAAGGAAAGACUCCAACAUGUUAGGAAAAAUGGAAGAAAUUAUUUUUUGAUUGUUUCUGGACAACUUGUGGGAAGAUAAGUGUGUCUUUGGAAUCUGCUAUGAGACUACAUUCCCCGCUUUUUCAAAGGAGCUCUUUUCUGUGAAAGAAAUGGUAAUCUAUUUUCAGACGAGAAAGGACUAGAACACUUUAACCACCUCCGGGUAUGUUCCUAGCGAGGCAAGGAAGAGAGUGGUUUGCGAGCAUGGCACUCCAGGCACACCUCCUACUGGCGGUGUUACUUUCAGUUUCCUCACAGGCGACCUGUGGGAAAUAAUGUCUUCCCCGUAGUGCUAAGAAGAUUAAAUGAGGUUAAAACAAGCACAGUGCCUGCAACAUAUAUAGUACAUACAUUAUAUAUUCAAUAAAUAGCUAGCUGUAAUUGGAUAUUGAAGUUGGGUUUUAUUUUAUGAUUCCAUAUUUUAAAAAUGAUUUUGAAAUAUUAAUAGGGACAUAUACACUGACAUUAACCAAAAGUAAAGGCAGCACUGGAGAAUACGGUAACGUGAAUGUGUUAUCUCCUUUCCUGGUGGGAAAUGGCAGCUUUGGUGUAUUAGACGAGGCCUUGGAGAGAAUCAUUCCCAUGGUAUUUGGAGAAUAACUUUGUACGAACUCAUGAGCCAGUGACAGUAAUUCAGUUGAGUCAACAUCUUUCUAGUAGAGUCUAGAGUAACAUAUGCAGAGCCAGGAGGUAAAUUUUGAAAGAAGCUCUGGUAUGGCAGUGUUACACAUUUAAGGUUACGUCAAACUUUCUGGAGACAGCCUGAGACGUAUGUUCAGUGUGUUGGUGUCACAUUUUUUAGACACAUUCCCAAGGUCUCAUUAUUUUGUCUCUUCAUUCUUUAGCAGCUAGAAUUGGUUUUGCUACUUCAAAAUCCUGUGAUCUCUCUUUACUGUAAAUUUAGAUUUUUAAAUGCCAUUGUCACUCGCUGAAUGCAUUUGUAAGAAAUGUGCAAAUCAGCAAAUCUUUUUCAAAUAUAUUUUGGCUACAUUAUCUUUAUUUAAUGAAUAGUUCCAAAACAAAAGGCAUGGGUGAUACUCAUUAUCCUACUUUUGUUCCUACUGCCUUGGCAAAACUACAGGAGACAAUUGGAAGCAAUCAAUUGUUCUCAUUUAUGAAUAGCAAUGAAUUUUUGUUACCGUGGCUUCUAGAAUUUGGCUUUGUUCAAGCUGCUGUUGGAGAGCUACAGCUCUAGAAAUAUAAAUAGUAUGGUAACAAAGUGAAAAUGCAUUCCCACGUAGACACAGGUUACACCUUGUUCAUACAGUGAUUGCUUAUUCUCUGUUGAUAGAGCAUUUAUUUUAGUAUAAAGACAGAAUGGGGAGUUCCCUUUGUGGCUCAGUGGCUAAGGAACCUGACUAGGAUCUAUGAGGAUGCGGGUUCAAUCCCUAGCCUUGCUCAGUGGGUUAAUGAUCCAGCAUUGCCGUGAGCUGUGGUAUAGGCUGCAGACGAGGUUCAGAUCCUGGGUUACUGUGGCUAUCGCAUAGCUCUGAUUCCCCUAGCUUGGGAACUUCCAUAUGCCCUGGGUUUGGC